UUUAGAGUUCUGAUCAUCUUUGACAUUUCGUUUCCGCAAUCCUUCCACUCCUUUAACGUCAGUUUGAGUUGAAGAAGCAGAAGGUUUGUUUACACUUGAAGUCUCUUCACCGUCUUUCUUUGGCUUAGAGAGCGAAGACGGACGCUCAUGUAUUAAAAUGCGGAUUCCCUUAUCCAUUAGAAAGAAUACUAGGGCUCCAAUAAGGAUUGAAUAAACAGAAGAUGCUGGAAAAUCUCCUCCAUUUGUCGAAUACACAGUAGGAAGUAAUUGUAGAAAAACAUCGCCUAAUAAACUACCUGCAGAAACUGCCACGAACAGAUUUAACAUACUCGUGUCGAACGACUUGGGAACAAGAAGAAUAAAAAUGUUAGGUGGUAUUGCUGUUAAGAAAGUCGCGAGAAUUCCAUUCGUUCCCGAGGAGUAAGAGAACUGCUU